GUCCACGCCGUAAACGUUGGGCACUAGGUGUGGGUUCCAACCAACGGAAUCCGCGCCGUCGCUAACGCAUUAAGUGCCCCGCCUGGGGAGUACGAUCGCAAGAUUAAAACUCAAAGGAAUUGACGGGGGCCCGCACAAGCAGCGGAGCGUGUUGCUUAAUUCGAUGCAACGCGAAGAACCUUACCUGGGCUUGACAUGUACGGAAAAGCCGUAGAGAUACGGUGUCCUUCGGGGCCGUACACAGGUGGUGCAUGGCUGUCGU
rnacentral:rRNA from 1 species